rnacentral:rRNA from 1 species
GAGUUUGAUCUUGGCUCAGAUUGAACGCUGGCGGCAGGCCUAACACAUGCAAGUCGAACGGUAACAGGAAACAGCUUGCUGUUUCGCUGACGAGUGGCGGACGGGUGAGUAAUGUCUGGGAAACUGCCUGAUGGAGGGGGAUAACUACUGGAAACGGUAGCUAAUACCGCAUAACGUCGCAAGACCAAAGAGGGGGACCUUCGGGCCUCUUGCCAUCGGAUGUGCCCAGAUGGGAUUAGCUAGUAGGUGGGGUAACGGCUCACCUAGGCGACGAUCCCUAGCUGGUCUGAGAGGAUGACCAGCCACACUGGAACUGAGACACGGUCCAGACUCCUACGGGAGGCAGCAGUGGGGAAUAUUGCACAAUGGGCGCAAGCCUGAUGCAGCCAUGUCGCGUGUAUGAAGAAGGCC